rnacentral:misc_RNA from 1 species
CUGCUGCGCACUUCCCCCUCCCACACCCUUUGUCCGCCCUCACUCUGCGGAUUUCCUAUCAACAGCGAUUCUUCCUCCUCGGCGUAGCUGAGUUUGCAUGUGUCUGCCCGUGGGCGUCUCCCGCUCUCUGUCUUACUCCCUGUACCUCAGGCGAUUUUAGUUUUGUUUGCGGUUGCUGCCGCGUCACGUGUGGGUGCGUGAGUGUGUGUGAUUUUGUAUUUAUUCGUUGCUGUCCGUUCAUUCUCUUCUCCCAUUCCCCUUUCGCCUGUUCCUGUCAUGAUCCUCUUUGCCUUUUCUCACCGCAUCUAGCUGACUGUCUGCCUUUUCUUCUCCCCUUCGGCUUCGUUUUCGCCUUUCUAUAUUUUCAUCAUCUGUGGGUUGAUGGGCCUUGUUUUGCUUGCCUGCUCCUUUCUUAUCUCCACCUCUGCCCCCCUCCCCCCUCCCCCCCUUCGGCGCAACGCAACGACGACAAGACAAAAAAAGGGGCAUAGCAGCUCAAUUCCACAGAAGCCGGAGCGCGCGCGCACGUACACACACACCGAUCUUGCACACAUACAAACUCACCACCCACCCUCGCUCCUGCAGAGUGACACGCAUCGGUGCCUUCCUCCUUCCCUUCCCUUCCCUUCCAUCCACACCCUCUUCCUCUAUCCACCGCUGCUCCAUUCCGCUCGUCUCUGCUCUCUGUCGCUGUUUGCAAGCCGCUGCUUUGCUUGUUUUGUUCGUCGUUUCCGCAUCGCCUCGAGUAGGGACUGACAUUGCCGAAGGCCAAGCAACAGCGGUAUGGCAAGCGCAGUGGCGUGCACAAGCUUCGAUCCCCGUAUCCAAGUGCCUCUUACACCUAUCCCUUCCCCUCCCCUCCCAACCAUCUCCAUUCACAGAUUAGUUAUCCCAAGCCACGCUGGUACGUAUAAGGCGCCACAGACUUGCAUCAUAGGAUUCGGACAGCGCCACACAGGAGAGUAAACCAAAUCAUCAACGGAAGUUGAGCAAUACGCCAAGCAGGGGCGGAAUCGAGCUGCGGCAUUGGGCCUCGUAAGGAAGCAGAAGCGUGAUAUUUGCAUCGUCAUCUUUUCUUCUCCAGAGUCUUCUCGGGUGCUUUUUCCGGCUGCCUCCAUCUCCUCUUUUUUUUUUGUCACAGCGUCUUCCCCCCUCUCCCUUCCCUUUUCUCUUCGCCUUCUGCACUUCGACACAUAGAGCCUCUGCUCACAUUUUUGGUCUCCUUUGCAGCGUCAUCUCGUCUUGUCGUCCUUUUCGCUUCUUGUUAAGGCGUGUAUGCGUGUGCUGCUGGCUCGCGCUGUAUUUUUCUGUUUUCCUGUCCAUCACUGCUUUCGUGAAAGGGGCGGCGCAUCGCGCAGCAUCGACGUUACGGAUCCCGGUAGCACAAAACCAGCUUUGCCUCUCCCCAGCUCGUUCAUCGAGUCCGCGGGGAGAGCGAGUUGGCGUGCUCGUGCGUGGGCGGCCCCCUUCCUUUUCCCUCAUCUCUCCCCCUCUCUCUCUCUCGUUCUCAGUUGAAUUUCCUUUUUUUUGUUUCUUGUGCCUCUUCCCCACCCCCUCCUUCCUCUUGUGUUUCUCUCUGUGCGUGUGUGCCCCGUCGUACAUUUCACGGCUGCUGUGGCUCCUUUCGUGUCUGCCUUAUCUGGUCAUUUGUGUGCUGCCGUGAUCCUUCACUGUGUACCGUAAAACAUUCUCCGCCCCCCGUCACUCUUCCGAGGAAGCCAAGCAAAAACACGAAGCGAAGCGAGGCGACGCAACACAACAAAGGCAGCUGCCGAAGCUGGAAAACGCAGAAACAUUCAUAAACAAAAACGAACAUGGGCGGUGAGUCUAGCAAGCAUUCCAACUCCUCGGCUCACGUCCGCAACCGUGAAAGGAAGCGGGGUGCUGUGCCCAGUACCCUGGCAGGUGGCAGCUGCCGCUCUGACUCUCUCAACGGGCGCACAGCCCGUUUGGGGCCCUCUUGUGGAGAUGUCCCAGAUUACAUUCCGCCGUCGCCGGUUCAGUGCGUCGCGUCGCCGAUCCUGCUAAGCGGCUCACUGGAUCCGUCGCUGACGUGGAUACUCGACACAGAGGCGGCACUCAUUACAGAGUGGAACCGUGACCUUCAGGAGGCUGCCGCUCCUAGUGCCGUGGCACGCGGGGUGCCGCGAGGGCGUGAGACAGCAGGAGAAGAAUCAACGCUUUCAUGGACGAAGACAUCUCCAGAAAGCGGUGCGAGCACAGCUGCCUCCAACACGCCGGGAUUGACCUCGUCGUCCACAUUCCCGGCGCUGUCAGGAUGGCCGUCGCCGACACAUGCAAAGUCUCCUUCUGGGCUGGCACUGACAUGCGACUCAGUGGACGUGACGACCGGGCGCAGCACAGGGAUGACCUUGCGCGUCCCGACCACGUGGACUCAACAGAAUUCAUCACGCGCCACAGCUUCAACAAAGACGUUGGCCAGCCCGAAGAGCCCCAAGGCACUGCCGAAGCCGCUGAGCGACUCGGCGGAGGGAGCGUCGCCGCUGGUUGUGUCGUCGCUGCCGGUCGGCAUCGACUACUUCCGAGCCUUGCAAUCGCGGUGGCUGAUCCAGGAGCAGCGGUCGCUGCCGCCGGCGACGGACGAGGAGGAUCUCAACGACUCGGUCAUCCUCGAGGCCGUUUCCGAGCCCAAUGGCGACGUUCUGAGCCCGCCUGUACCGCUAGGGUACAUGAUCGAUCUCUUUGUGCCGCAAUGGCGGUCUGAGGGGCUUUUCGAAGCGGCUCAGGACCACCAGACGCGCUAGGGUCCCACAGAUUUCGUGCAUGCGCUCUUGGAAGGACCUCCUUUUUCUUGUUUUUUUUUUUCGGUUGUUGCCCGUCUCAGAUAUAUGUGGUGUUCGUGUAAUGUGCGUGCGCGCUAUGCGGCGAUGGUGCCGGCACAGGCUGGAGAGAAGACAGAGGAGAGGGAGGCAAGGAUGCAGAUGUACCGCGCUUUUCUUCUCCCUGCUCUUUCUUUCGUUGGUCCCUCAUGCGGUGCUCUCUCUCCUGUGUUUUCCACACGCCCAAAACGGUGUGGUGGCUGUGCCGCAGCGUGGUUUGAUGUUUUUCCUGUCACCAAUCUAAUAUCCCUGCCGAUAGGCAGACACACCCCUCAGUGCGUGGUGGCAUCGCAGGGUCCGGUACCCAAUCUGCAUCGGAAAGUCAGGAACCCCCUCCCCCUACUGUACCUCUGCCAAAUGCCGAACCACUUAUGGUGGUGACCGGGCCAGAUCCUUGGUGGCACUGCGUCGGAGCGAUCUGCGACGAUGAACACGCUUAUGCCACCGAUAUGAC